GUGCUCACUUCAGGAGCAGACAUAGUAAAAUUGGAAUGAUUAGAGAUUAGCAUGGCCCCUGCGCAAGGAUGGCAUGCAAAUUCAUAAAGCGUUCCAUAUUUUU